rnacentral:rRNA from 1 species
CAGCCGCCGCGGGAAAACGAAGGGUGCAAGCGUUACUCGGAAUUACUGGGCGUAAAGCGUGCGUAGGUGGUGGUUUAAGUCCGUUGUGAAAGCCCUGGGCCCAACCUGGGAAUUGCAGUGGAUACUGGGUCACUAGAGUGUGGUAGAGGAUAGUGGAAUUUCCGGUGUAGCAGUGAAAUGCGUAGAGAUCGGAAGGAACAUCUGUGGCGAAGGCGACUAUCUGGGCCAACACUGACACUGAGGCACGAAAGCGUGGGGAGCAAACAGGAUUAGAUACCCGAGUAGUCCCUGUCUCUUAUAC